UACGUAGGGUCCGAGCGUUGUCCGGAAUUAUUGGGCGUAAAGAGCUCGUAGGCGGUUUGUCGCGUCUGCUGUGAAAUCCCGAGGCUCAACCUCGGGUCUGCAGUGGGUACGGGCAGACUGGAGUGCGGUAGGGGGAGAAUGGAAUUCCUGGUGUAGCGGUGGAAUGCGCAGAUAUCAGGAGGAACACCGAUGGCGAAGGCAGUUCUCUGGGCCGUAACUGACGCUGAGGAGCGAAAGCGUGGGAGCGAACAGG
rnacentral:rRNA from 1 species